rnacentral:misc_RNA from 1 species
AAACUUUCUGCGAUAAUUGUACUUUAUGGCGUGACUGAAAGAAGAUUCUUGCAGGGGAAAACACUCCUUAAAAAUUUGAAAUUUCACCUGUGCUGGAAAUUUGCCCCCAAAAGCAUGUGCUUCCAAGUUUAUUCCUCCAGAGGAUGUUGCCUCAUACACCCCAUACAAGAGCCUCAACUCAAUAUCAAAGAGGAACAGCUUUGUUCCAGGUUUAAUCUUUUCUACCAUUUUCUUUUUAUUUGAACCAACCCCCAAAACACGAAAUCUGAAACAAU